GUUGAACGCUGGCGGCGUGCCUAAUACAUGCAAGUCGCACGAAGAGUGGACGGGUGAGUAACACGUGUAUAACAUCCUAUAAGACCGGGAUAACUUCGGGAAACCGGAGGUAAACCGGAUUCUUAUAGCUGGAUCCGCGCUGCAUGAGCUGGUGGGUAAGGUAACGGCUUACCAAGGCAACGAUGCAUAGCCGACCUGAGAGGGUGAUCGGCCACACUGGAACUGAGACACGGUCCAGACUCCUACGGGAGGCAGCAGUAGGGAAUCUUCCGCAAUGGGCGAAAGCCUGACGGAGCAACGCCGCGUGAGUGAUGAAGGUCUUCGGAUCGUAAAACUCUGUUAUUAGGGAAGCGGUACCUAAUCAGAAAGCCACGGCUAACUACGUGCCAGCAGCCGCGGUAAUUC
rnacentral:rRNA from 1 species